UCCUAAAGAGAGGGGUGUCAGAGAGUCGUGAUGCCCUGGAGAACAUGGCUGCUCUUAAUUGGCCCUGGCAAAGGACAAGAGGGAGCUUAACGCCCAGACACUACAGAGUCACUGGCUUACUGGGGCUCUUCCAGCCGUCCCUCGGAGGGGUGCAUCACUUGAGUGGGCUCUGAUGGAGGAGAGAGAUGUGGAGACCCUACCAGAGGAGAAGGAGACAGAAGUCACUGCUCUGAUGGAGGAGAGAGAAAAAAGGAGCAGUGGCCUUUCUUUGCUGCCUGUGGGAAGAGCUCCUCAGAGAGAAUCCGAAGGGUCCUUUCACUGGAGAGAGAGAAGAGCUCCUCAGAGAGAAUCCGAAGGGUCCUUUCACUGGAGAGAGAGAAGAGCUCCUCAGAGAGAAUCCGAAGGGUCCUUUCACUGGAGAGAGAGAGAAGAGCUCCUCAGAGAGAAUCCGAAGGGUCCUUUCACUGGAGAGAGA